rnacentral:rRNA from 1 species
UACGUAGGGUGCAAGCGUUAAUCGGAAUUACUGGGCGUAAAGCGUGCGCAGGCGGUUUUGUAAGACAGGCGUGAAAUCCCCGGGCUCAACCUGGGAACUGCAUUUGUGACUGCAAGGCUAGAGUACGGCAGAGGGGGAUGGAAUUCCGCGUGUAGCAGUGAAAUGCGUAGAUAUGCGGAGGAACACCGAUGGCGAAGGCAAUCCCCUGGGCCUGCACUGACGCUCAUGCACGAAAGCGUGGGGAGCAAACAGG